AUUAUUGUUUUUUAACGUAUAUAUUUUUCUUCCUAAACGUCGUUUUAAAGUUGCAAAUAUUUGUUUAAAGCUUCGAUUACGAUUUUAAACUACAGGCGUAAAAUAUAACUGAAAAAUAAAUAAAUAAUAAUAAUAAUAAUAAUAAUAAUAAUAAUAACUGCGGAAAGAUAAGCGGCACCUGACGUGAAUCCGGGGGGAGAUUUUUUUUUUUCUUCUUUUUUCCCUGAAGAAGGUCGAGCGGUGGAGCGGUGACUGCCAUGACAGCACAUCCUGUUAAUAACCACGUCACCCUAAUUAGUAAAGUAAUUAUGAGGCGCUAAUGAGCGUUCAGAGGCAGUAGGAAAUUCAGCACUUUUCGCCUCGUUCCGACGUGGAUUUGAAGGAUGUUGAACGGAGGAUUUAAAAAAAAAAAGAAAGAAGAAGAAGCUGACAGUCUGUAGAGCAGCGCGGCUCUCACUGCUCAGGAAACGCAAACAUGGAAUUUCUUGAAUUCUACUUCUACUGUUUCUGCCGAAUUUCAGGAAAAAUAUGGAUGAAUUAAUUCCGGGUUUUUUCUAGGCUUUUAUUAUUAUUAUUAUUAUUAUUAUUAUUAUUAUUAUUAUUAUUAUUAUUGCAGUAACCAUCGUUGUGUUUUUCCUCCAGCAGGUUCGCAGAGGAGAAAUGGAGCCUUUCAUUGCUGGAGGUAAGAAGCUGAAUCUCGGAUUUGAAGGAACAUUUUCAGCUCUUCAGUCCUAAAACUUUCCAACCAAGUCGGAGAAUCAGCCUGUUACAGCAACAACACCAACAUAUUCAAUGUUGUUUUGCCUUUUAUUUCAGAGUGUUUGUGUUGUCGGGGUCACCAGAGCGACAAACAGCUCAGGGCCGGCUAUACAAGGAUGGGGGCCCCUGGGCUGGAGCCGGUUUUGGUGCCACACUGCUCUACUGAUACAAAUUACAAUACAUCUAUAGGUAGUCCCAUACAGGAAAUGAUGCAUGGUGUGUUUAAUAUGUUAAGCAGUAGUUCCAUAAUCUUCCCCAAAAAAAUACUAACACUCUUAACUACUUUAGUAUUGUAUAUAUUUAUAAAAAUUCAAAAAAUAUCAAUGAAAUUCAUCUGAUAUGCACUUAUGAGUUUUAUAUAAAGGACAAUGCAAACACAUAUAUAACAAAAAAGAAAGAAAAAAAAAGAAGAAGAAGAAUUAGGCACUUUGGGCUGCAUUUGUAUUAAUCUCCCUUUUACUCUGAUGCCCCUAAAUUCAGAAGUUCUGUGUGAAGUUUGAGCUCACAGAUGCUCCGUGAAGCUGUGAAGAGGUUUGUAAGACAACAGAGAAUAAUAAGUUGUCAUGUUUUAAAAAAAGGUAAAUAAAGUAAGUUUGACAAAAUGUAUUCAAUUACAUGCAACAAAUUAAGUGAAUCUUUUUUAAAGGUGCAGCUCUACUCUCUCUUUCCAGUGUGCGCAUGUUUCCACAUGAGAUACUGAUGCACGCUACAUUCAUGGAGGGAAUGUAACACCCGCGUUAGGUUGUAUCAUUUCUGGGCUGCUAAAAAUAAGCACCUUAGCAUAUUUUUAACUAUUUACCGCCACAACAAAAUAUUCAAAGAAUCCCAAAUGUUGAGCUUCUCUCCUCCUGCUGUCAGAGGAGCAGGAUCAGAGAUGCGCAGGAAGUGGAGAACACAUUGAUUCGAGCACGCUCCAAACACGGGCCGGCCCUGACAAGGUUGUUAUAACAGUCGGUGGGGUCUAUACAAUCGCUUAAUCACCAAAGCUGUCAGUCAAACGGGGGCCGCUGCUGGCUCCAUGCAUGGCUGCGAGCGGCGUUCCACUAGCAGCCUCCCUGAGUGAUUGAUCCGUGCUGAUGGCAUCGCAGAAAUAAUUACAAGUCGUCUCCUGAUGUGUGAUUCCGCAGCACGUUCACGCUUCACGAAGGUAAUCGGGAGGGAUCAGGAGGGGUCAGUGCCAUUUCCUAUUACCUGGAGUCCGAGCAACAGAAAAAAAAGGAAAAAAAAGGGUAAAACAAUGUGAGCAGAGUGAGGGGGGGGGGGAUGUGUGGGGGAGGUAGAGAGGUUUGGGUGCGCUUUGUCAACGAGUUCUGACGUGAUUUUUGUCCAAUCUCAAGCACUUAGAGGCUAAAAGCUGAACAUACUGCAGCAAACUGACGGAAUCCGACGUUCUCAAACGGGGAUUUUAAAUAAUCGGCUUCAUUUAGUUGAUUCCCAUCACAAUAAAUCGACUGUUAGACGCCAUGUUGGGAGACGGUCAAGUUUAGGGCCGGUUUAAAGUCGCAGGAUUAAACUUUGUGUGCUGCACCAAAUAAUAAAUAAGGAAAUCAAUAUAUUAAUCAAAGCCUUAAUAACCUUACUGAAGGUUAGGUUGCAAUAACCUUACUGAGAGUUAUUGCAGUAUAAAUUUAUCUCAUGAGCAGACGUUAAAGUCAACAUGAAAAAAUACAUCAUUAGAUUUAUGUGAGGACAAUAAACAGGAAACCUAAAUUAAAAAAAAUCUCUUCUAUAUAUGACAUCUGGUCUGACGUCCUGUAACAAGCCCCUGAUUGGUCGAAAUGUGUGUACUUUUGCAUAUUUUUGCGCUUCCAUUUUAUUUUGUACGAGUUAAAAUUUUCAAGUCUGACGUUGGGCAGGAAGAGGACAAAAUGUCCGUAGAAUUUAUAACCCAGAGAAGGAAAAUCUGAACUUUUUGAUCUGGCCCCGACCUCAAAAUCCAAUAUGGCCGCCCCGCAUGGAAAAAAACUUGAUCUGCGCUUCUGACGUUUUGUUUGUCUCUUUGAAUCUGAUGCACAGUUUGAUACCUGUGGUUAUUGUACACACCAAAAACAACAAAAGAUCAGGAUGCAGAAAUCAACCGGCAAGUGAUUGAGGCUGGCCAAUUUUUUUCCCCCUGUGACUCGCUGACCGAAAAACCUGUUGGGUUUCUCUUUGUCUCUAAGACGGAAAGUUCCCACCCUUUAUGGCCCAUAAAUGCAUCACUGAAUGUCAUGAUGUUGUUAGGUUAAUAAAAAUGUCAGAGAGUUUUGCUUUUAUCCAUGAAUGGGGCUGAUCUUUCAAUCCUUGCUUUCUGUUACGGAGGAAAUACAUUUCUUUCUUUUAUGUUCAGUGUUUGUUAAAACUACCGAAUAAAUACACGUGUUGCAGAAAUAGUUUGUACUUUCUCCAGCGUCGCCCUCCAAACCCGUUCCUCUGUGUUUCAGAUAUCUCCUCCAACACACCUGAGUUCACUGACUGCAAGCGACAAAAGCAGCUGAUGGUGUCAUCCAGGACUUGUCGCCAUGGAAUAUCGUCUCCUCUCCUUGAAAAUGUAGCUGCUAGCGUGUCAUGAUCGUCAUGAAGCUGUCGUUCAACAACAGUCUUCAGUCAGAGGCCUCCCCAGAUUUGUUGCAAAACUGACUGCUAGCAGAAAUCCUUGUGGUCUACAGAAUCACCGUAGACCAGAGGCUCCUCCAAGACACUUGUUUGAUGAGCUUAAUGUUCCCUCUGUGAUAAAUAAAUUAUGUUUCAAUUGAA